UAGCCCUGAAAAUGGAUGGCGCUGAAGCGUCGUACCCACACCCGGCCGUCGGGUCGAGUUGCAAGUCCCGACGAGUAGGAGGGCGCGGCGGUGGCCGUGCAGCCUCGGGCGCGAGUCCGGGCGAAGCCGCCGCCGGUGCGGAUCUUGGUGGUAGUAGCAAAUAUUCAAACGAGAGCUUUGAAGACUGAAGUGGGGAAGGGUUCCAUGUCGACAGCAGUUGGACAUGGGUGAGUCGAUCCUAAGAGGAGGGAGAGGUCCCCCUGCAAGGCGCAGUCGUCUCGUUGCGACGGCGCCGUUCCUCGAAAGGGAGUCGGGUUAAGAUUCCCGAACCGGGAGGCGGAUAGGCCCUCGGGCCGUGAGCGGCGACGCAAGCGAACUCGGAGACGUCGGCGGGAGCUCCGGGAAGAGUUCUCUUUUCUUCUUAACGGGCUAUCCCCCUGGAAUCAGAUUGGCUGGAGAUAGGGUCUAAUGCCCGGUAAAGCGCCACACUUGUUGUGGCGUCCGGUGCGCUCCCGACGGCCCUUGAAAAUCCGAGGGAGCGGUUGAUUUUCGCGCCCGGUCGUACCGAUAUCCGCAUCAGGUCUCCAAGGUGAACAGCCUCUAGUUGAUAGAACAAUGUAGGUAAGGGAAGUCGGCAAAACGGAUCCGU
rnacentral:rRNA from 1 species